rnacentral:rRNA from 1 species
UACGUAGGGUGCAAGCGUUGUCCGGAAUCAUUGGGCGUAAAGCGCGCAUAGGUGGCUUCGUAAGUCCGUUGUGAAAGUCAAAGGCUCAACCUUUGAAUGCCGAUGGAUACUGCGAAGCUAGAGUACGGAAGAGGCGAGUGGAAUUCCUGGUGUAGCGGUGGAAUGCGCAGAUAUCAGGAGGAACACCAAUAGCGAAGGCAGCUCGCUGGGACGUUACUGACACUAAGGCGCGAAAGCGUGGGGAGCGAACAGG